CGGAGUCGAAGUGCGCGCGUGUGUAAUUUUCGUUUCGAGGUUAGAUUUUAGAACCUCUGUUUUGUGAAAGCUUAUUGUUUAAUGUUGUUCUUUUCUAUAGUUCAGGUCCAGUUUGAAAGUCCGAUCGUUAAAAGGAAGUGUUAGUAAUUUGAGACGAUCAAAAAGAGGUCAAGGACGAUAGUACAACGAACAAAAAGGUUGUCCACAAAAACACAUGUUAAAAACAAUAAGAAAAAGGUCCGUUUAAGGGGCCUUUUUCUUGUGAUCUCUUUUCAUGUUCGGCAACGGUGGAACCUGGUGGCACGAUUAAUCUCGGCUACAGUACGGCAGUCGACUUCAGCACGGUAAGCUGGCCGAUGGAUACAAUUCCGGCCAUUCUUCGCUCUCGACGCCGCUGUGAGCCCGUUCAACUUCUGCCAUUGCAAUCCGUCUCACGAAAACGUGAAUCCGCCAUAAUGCCAGGACCACCAAGCUCCGAGUGCGGUGUGCAUAACCCCACUCAUCGAAGUAAACCCUCCG